rnacentral:rRNA from 1 species
UACGGAGGGGGCUAGCGUUGUUCGGAAUUACUGGGCGUAAAGCGCGCGUAGGCGGACCUGCAAGUCGGGGGUGAAAGCCCGAGGCUCAACCUCGGAACUGCCUUUGAUACUGCAAAUCUCGAGUCCGGAAGAGGUGAGUGGAAUUCCUAGUGUAGAGGUGAAAUUCGUAGAUAUUAGGAAGAACACCAGUGGCGAAGGCGGCUCACUGGUCCGGUACUGACGCUGAGGUGCGAAAGCGUGGGGAGCAAACAGG